ACAGUACAAACUGAGCAGGUUAUGUAACACAUGACCGGGCCGCCAGACAGCGGCAGCAGAUAAAAGACAUCUGCGGAACAGU
rnacentral:ncRNA from 1 species